UAGGGAAUCUUCGGCAAUGGGGGGAACCCUGACCGAGCAACGCCGCGUGAGUGAAGAAGGUUUUCGGAUCGUAAAGCUCUGUUGUUAAGGAAGAACGAGUGUGAGAAUGGAAAGUUCAUGCUGUGACGGUACUUAACCAGAAAGGGACGGCUAACUACGUGCCAGCAGCCGCGGUAAUACGUAGGUCCCGAGCGUUGUCCGGAUUUAUUGGGCGUAAAGCGAGCGCAGGCGGUUAGAAAAGUCUGAAGUGAAAGGCAGUGGCUCAACCAUUGUAGGCUUUGGAAACUGUUUAACUUGAGUGCAGAAGGGGAGAGUGGAAUUCCAUGUGUAGCGGUGAAAUGCGUAGCUAUAUGGAGGAACACCGGUGGCGAAAGCGGCUCUCUGGUCUGUAACUGACGCUGAGGCUCGAAAGCGUGGGGAGCGAACAGG
rnacentral:rRNA from 1 species